UGUGGGUAGCGGAGAAAUUCCAAUCGAACUCGGAGAUAGCUGGUUCUCCCCGAAAUAGCUUUAGGGCUAGCCUCGGUAUAGUCUAAUGGAGGUAGAGCACUGAAUCGCUGCGGGGGCGUCAAAGUCUACCAAUGCGUAUCAAACUCCGAAUGCCAUAUAGAUGUUUACCGGGAGUCAGACUGUAUGAGAUAAGUCGGACAGUCAAAAGGGAAACAGCCCAGACCAUCUGCUAAGGUCCCAAAGUGUAUGUUAAGUGGUAAAGGAUGUGGGGUUUCGAAGACAACUAGGAUGUUGGCUCAGAAGCAGCCAUUCAUUCAAAGAGUGCGUAAUAGCUCACUAGUCGAGAGGUCCUGCGCCGAAAAUGUCCGGGGCUGAAACAUAACACCGAAGCAAUGGAACAUACCGCAAGGUAUGUUGGUAGGGGAGCAUUGAUAACACGAAGAAGCGGUACCGUAAGGAGCCGUGGAGAGUUAUCAAGAGAGAAUGCCGGAAUGAGUAGCGAGAUGAAGGUGAGAAUCCUUCAGGCCGUAUAUCCAAGGUUUCCAGGGUAAAGCUGAUCUUCCCUGGGGAAGUCGGGACCUAAGCUCAGGCUGAGAAGCGUAGGCGAUGGACAACUGGUUGAUAUUCCAGUACCUCUGGCUGUCAGAAAUGUGGGGACACGGAAAUUCAGGAAGUGCCUGUAAAGGAUUCAGGUGCAAGCAUGGUUUAUGCCGGGCAGGCAAAUCCGCCCGGGUAAGUGGACUGUGUGACGCGGACCGAAAUAUAAGUAGGGAAGCUUCUGGGAGAGCCGUCGAGAAAAGCCGCUAUUGUGCAGCCAGAGCCCGUACCGUAAACCGACACAGGUGGAUGGGGAGAGUAUCCCAAGGCCGGCGGGAGAAGCAUUGUUAAGGAACUCGGCAAAAUGGCCCCGUAAGUUCGCGAUAAGGGGUGCCUGUAGAGAUACAGGCCGCAGAGAAUAGGCUCAAGCAACUGUUUAGCAAAAACACAGGUCUAUGCGAAACCGUAAGGUGAUGUAUAUGGGCUGACGCCUGCCCGGUGCUGGAAGGUUACGGGGAGUGCUUAGGAGCAAUCCGAAGGUACGAACUUAAGCCCCAGUAAACGGCGGCCGUAACUAUAACGGUCCUAAGGUAGCGAAAUUCCUUGUCGGGUAAGUUCCGACCCGCACGAAAGGCGUAAUGAUUUGAGCGCUGUCUCAACAAUGCACCCGGUGAAAUUGAAGUACCAGUGAAGAUGCUGGUUACCUGCGCCAAGACGGAAAGACCCCAUGGAGCUUUACUCCAUCUUGGUACUGGGAUUAGAUAUAUGAUGUACAGGAUAGGUGGGAGACUAAGAAGCAGGGACGCCAGUUUCUGCUGAGUCAAUGUUGGGAUACCACCCUUCGUGUAUCUGGUUUCUAACCUUUGCCCGUUAUCCGGGCAGGGGACAAUGCCAGGAGGGGAGUUUGACUGGGGCGGUCGCCUCCGAAAGUGUAUCGGAGGCGCUCAAAGGUUCCCUCAGAAUGGUUGGAAACCAUUCGAAGAGCGCAAAGGCAGAAGGGAGCUUGACUGCGACACCGACGGGUGGAGCAGGUACGAAAGUAGGACUUAGUGAUCCGGUGGUAUAAAGUGGGAUUGCCAUCGCUCAACGGAUAAAAGCUACCCUGGGGAUAACAGGCUUAUCACUCCCAAGAGUUCACAUCGACGGAGUGGUUUGGCACCUCGAUGUCGGCUCAUCGCAUCCUGGGGCUGUAGCAGGUCCCAAGGGUUGGGCUGUUCGCCCAUUAAAGCGGUACGCGAGCUGGGUUCAGA
rnacentral:rRNA from 1 species